AAGUGGCCAGCUGGAUGCACUUCAUUCCCUGCUCUCCAGCUAUUAUUUCCUGUAUGCUAAUGUGCGCCAUGGCCUCCUGCACCACCUCCUGGAGACCUACAGCUUGUAUGAUAAGAAGCAUAAUUCUGCACCCUCAAUUGGCUUCCAGGGCAGUCUGGAGGACUGUCGUUGUUUCCUGCGGCGUCACUCCCUCCUUCUCUCCUCCUGGCCGGCUCUUUUCAUUCAGCAGGCCCUCAAUGAGCAUCCAGAGACAUCUGCUCACACCUGGGCACAAGGCCUGGUGAGAAAGGGAGGAGUCCGGGUAGUUGAGUGGCUAAACAAUGGCAGUCAGUCUGUUCAAGG